rnacentral:rRNA from 1 species
CCUACGGGAGGCAGCAGUGGGGAAUAUUGCACAAUGGGGGAAACCCUUAUGCAGCGACGCCGCGUGAGUGAAGAAGUAAUUCGUUAUGUAACGCUCUAUCAGCAGGGAAGAAAAUGACGGUACCUGAGUAAGAAGCCCCGGCUAACUACGUGCCAGCAGCCGCUGUAAUACGUAGGCGGCAAGCGUUAUCCGGAUUUACUGGGUGUAAAUGGAGCGUAGACGGCAGUGCAAGUCUGGAGUGAAAGGCGGGGGCUCAACCCCCGGAGUGUACUUGAAACUGUACGGCUGGAGUGCAGGUGAGGUAAGUGGAAUUCGUAGUGUAGCGGUGAAAUGCGUAGAUAUUGGGAAGAACACCAGUGGCGAAGGCAGCUUACUGGAAGGUAACUGAGGUUGAGGCUCGAAAGCGUGGGUAGCAAACGGGAUGAGAUACCCUGGUAGUC